ACGGCUACAUUCUUCCCUCUCUCUCUCUCGUUGCUUUCUCAUUGCCUCCUACAAACCAAACUCCCUACCCUCCAUAAUCUCGUUCUCUCUCUCUUUCUCUCUAGAAUUCUGAGUGCAAUACGUGUUUUUCCCCUUUGUAAUAGCAACAGUUACUUUUCCUCUCGUGGUCUCUGAUUGGCUUGGCUUGGCUUCUGAAUAUUCUUCUUCUUUUUCUUUUUCAUUCAGUUUCAGUUUCAAUGGAGACUUUGCCUGCCUUAAACCAAAAAGAUCGAAGAACGGCUCAGUUUCUGAUUUCUCAGCUUCGAUCAGAUUAUUCAAUUUGUCCUUUUUUUUUAAUUUUUUUAAAGGAUAAAAAGAAUUAUUAAUUACUUUUGGAUAUAUGAUAUAUUAUUAUUAUUAUUAUUAUUAUUAUUAUUAUUAUUAUUAUUAUUAUUUUUUCCCCAAUCGUCGAGUAAAAAAAAUUAUUAUUUGACCUUUGGAAUUGGAAAUGAGAGUAAUUAAUUUUGUGUUAAACCCAGGAGUUAGAGGUCUUGUCAACCCCUUUAAUCCUCUCAACGGCUAGUUUGAUGAGCAACGGUCAAAUUUUAAAUUUGAAAUGUAUAGUACAGCUCUUCCCAACGGCUAGUUUGAUGACAACGGUCAAAUUUUUACUCUAAUGCAUAGACAACUUUAGCUCCUUUUCCGAACAAAUAGAUGGGUCGGAGUGGUUUCUUUUGCGGUGGAGAUUUCCAUCCAGUUAAUUUUCCGCCAUUUCUUUAAGUAAUUUUCUCUCUUGUUUUGUUAAUUUUACUUCCUUUCCGUCGACUUUAACAUUCUGGGUUUCCGUUAUUUGACUGAAAAUGGUAAAAGUAACAGAAAAAACACAAACGGAAGAAAUCGGGCUUUCUGAGAGGAAAGGUGGAGAUGGAGAGUGGGUCCGAAGGUGAACCAUUCGAAGAAAUGUCUGUGAGAAAAAAGUUUCCUAAGAAGAAAUGCUAUGGAAUCAGCAGAUGACAAGGAAAGGCUGAAACUGAGCCAAGAACUGGGUCUCAAACCGUGGCCAGUCAAGUUCUGGUUACAAAACAGGCGAAGCCAGAUGAAGGUGCGCACCUUAGCAGCAUUCCCUCUUCCUUUUUCACUCUUUCAUGUUAUCCCUAAAAAACGAGUUCCCUAGCUAAUAACCUGUUAAUUUAAAAGGAUUAAGAAAUUCCAUUUA